GGGAAUAUUGGACAAUGGGGGGAACCCUGAUCCAGCCAUGCCGCGCGUGUGAAGAAGGCCUUAUGGUUGUAAAGCACUUUAAGCGAGGAGGAGGCUACUCUAGUUAAUACCUAGGGAUAGUGGACGUUACUCGCAGAAUAAGCACCGGCUAACUCUGUGCCAGCAGCCGCGGUAAUACAGAGGGUGCGAGCGUGAAUCGGAUUUACUGGGCGUAAAGCGUGCGUAGGCGGCUUAUUAAGUCGGAUGUGAAAUCCCCGAGCUUAACUUGGGAAUUGCAUUCGAUACUGGUGAGCUAGAGUAUGGGAGAGGAUGGUAGAAUUCCAGGUGUAGCGGUGAAAUGCGUAGAGAUCUGGAGGAAUACCGAUGGCGAAGGCAGCCAUCUGGCCUAAUACUGACGCUGAGGUACGAAAGCAUGGGGAGCAA
rnacentral:rRNA from 1 species